CUAUUGUUUAUGGUUCCCGGCCCACUUAAUUACAAUGUUUAGGAUUGAGGAGGACUGCUCGUUCCUGCUUCUUGGCAAUUUCCAGAUAGAAGCUUGACAGAAAUUGUAGAAGUGGCAUGGGAGACCUUGAAGUAAAUGUUGGAGUCAAACUUGUUGCCUUCUUGGAAGUAAUUAAAUUAGCCUGAACAUGGUUUCUACACUGGACCUGCACUUCAUUAUGGGAGACCUAGUAAAUGCAGAAGAAUGCUUAGGGUCAAAAAGCAAAGAAAAACCGCC